CCUACGGGUGGCAGCAGUAGGGAAUCUUCCACAAUGGGCGAAAGCCUGAUGCAGCAACGCCGCGUGGGUGAAGAAGGUCUUCGGAUCGUAAAACCCUGUUGUUAGAGAAGAAAGUGCGUGAGAGUAACUGUUCACGUUUCGACGGUAUCUAACCAGAAAGCCACGGCUAACUACGUGCCAGCAGCCGCGGUAAUACGUAGGUGGCAAGCGUUAUCCGGAUUUAUUGGGCGUAAAGGGAACGCAGGCGGUCUUUUAAGUCUGAUGUGAAAGCCUUCGGCUUAACCGGGGUAGUGCAUUGGAAACUGGAAGACUUGAGUGCAGAAGAGGAGAGUGGAACUCCAGGUGUAGCGGUGAAAUGCGUAGAUAUAUGGAAGAACACCAGUGGCGAAAGCGGCUCUCUGGUCUGUAACUGACGCUGAGGUUCGAAAGCGUGGGUAGCAAACAGGAUUAGAUACCCGGGUAGUC
rnacentral:rRNA from 1 species